CCAGGAAGAAGAGGGAUCAAGAUACAGAAAGCAGUUGAGCGUCUAGUUAACAAAGCAUAAAGAGGGCCAAGUUUGGAAGCAAGAUUAAUGAUGUGUCGGAGUGGAAAGUUGUCAUGGUGUUUGAUGACGUAGAGAAAGAGCACAGUAGGUGGCGGCAUGACUUAAACGAUUGAUUGCGGACCGCCAUGAUAUCAUAGAAGAAGAAGUAGAUAACAAAGAAGAAGACUUGACAAUCUCUUCUCUUGUUGCUAGGAUCGCGAGAAGAGGGGGACAAGCUCAAUCUGCCUCACGUUGCAGUUGGGAGGUUGCUGUCCUAUCUAUCUGGCUUACCUUCAGAUCCUCCCUUUUCCCCUCCUGGUUUCUUCCCGAACCUCUUGCUCUCCUUAAACCCUCUUUACUUGGAGUGAACCACCAUGGCAACAGCAAAGCCCAAAGGGCAGAACUCUCUGGCCCUCCACAAAGUGAUCAUGGUGGGCAGUGGUGGAGUGGGGAAGUCAGCCCUCACUCUGCAGUUCAUGUAUGACGAGUUUGUUGAGGACUAUGAACCAACUAAAGCGGACAGCUAUAGGAAAAAGGUAGUUCUGGAUGGGGAGGAGGUCCAGAUAGACAUCCUGGACACUGCGGGACAAGAGGACUAUGCUGCCAUCCGGGACAACUACUUCCGCAGUGGGGAGGGCUUCCUCUGUGUCUUUUCCAUCACUGAGGCAGAGUCGUUUGCAGCUACAGCAGACUUCAGGGAGCAGAUCUUGCGGGUGAAGGAGGAUGAGAGUGCACCCUUCCUCCUGGUGGGGAACAAGUCUGACUUGGAGGACCGGAGGCAGGUCAGCGCCGAAGAGGCCAAGGCGCGUGCUGAACAGUGGGGCGUGUGCUACGUGGAGACCUCUGCCAAAACCCGUGCCAAUGUCGACAAGGUAUUCUUUGACCUGAUGAGAGAGAUCCGAGCGAGGAAGAUGGAGGACAGUAAAGAGAAAAACGGCAAGAAGAAAAGGAAAAGUUUGGCCAAGAGGAUUAGAGAGAGAUGCUGCAUUUUAUAGUGACAAGGGGGUCAGUGAUGACUGCUUUGUGUAUAAAUAUUUCACCUAUUUUUGCAUUUUAUUUGUGCCCAUAGAAGCCCCUUACUCCUGGUUCUGGUACCCAGGGAUUCUAGUCUUGGAUCAGAAGUAACUGGUAGGUUUAACAAAAGGUUGCGCUAGAGAGAUCUAGCAUGGGCUACGUCUCAAUCCACUUCAUCCGCCUAUGUCGCCCUUCCGCAUCUGCAGUGGAAAGUGGCGGAGCUACAGAGCUGUUUGUCAAACCAGGAGACAUCCAGAAAAUCGUAGACUCACGAACAUGACGGUGUUCUCCGUGUUUUGCUUUGACGUCCACAAGUGUCGCUGGACCAGUCCUAAAGGUAACCCAAACAAAUGAAUGGAGGUAGUUUUGUGCCAACAAAAAUAAGGGGUUAAAUGUGUUGUUUAAUUCCUGAGCUUUCUUAUCUCAUUGAUAUAGGACAGACACUUCAAAACUUUAUUCCUUAUGAUUAAUUUUUGUACUGUCUUGUCGUUUAUGAAUGUAUAAUUCAAUGCGUUUAUGUGUUUAUAUGGGCUAUAGUAGUAAAGGCCAAGUGUAAUAUUUUGUCAUACUUUAUUUAUUUUUUGGGGAUACCUAAAAGGCUCCUAAAAUUUCAAAUCAAAUAGCUAAAUGAUCCAUUGUAUGACCUUAAAACAAUUCCAUGUCAUCUUAGAACCCCCCCCUUGUAGAAUUCUGUAGCACACCAUUAUCUACUUCCAUGGUGCUAUCUUGCUUUCUGACUGACCUAGAUCAAGUUCUGUUUGUUUGUGUGUAUGCACGUGCGUGGGUCCAAGCCCCUACUUGGUAACUCUGUCUCAAAUGACAAAUGUUUUUAUUAACUUAUUUUCCUAUUGUUUGGCGUAAUCACAAUGGACUGGGCCAGGUCAAAUUGAGCAAGGCCAGGUCUGGUUCGUGAGACUUAUGUAGGACUUUGUAUUACAUUUUGUUGCAGUAAUGUGAAUGCAGGUGAAUUUUCUCUACAGGAAACUUUUAAUGUGAGUUUAUUUAUUUUAUUUUUUACUGUACACAUGUAUUGCCUUAUGUUUUAAUAUCCUUUUACUUUCAAUUUGUAAUAUUUAUCUUUGAUCUUCAAUUUCAUAAAGCAAAUCAAUCUCAAUAUGGAUGUUGGUUAUACCUGUAUUGUGUAGUUAUUAUGUUGUCUGUUUACUCACAUCCUUAACAAAAACACUAAUGUAUCUUACUGUUACUGGGUACGAUAAUUGAAAUGCUGUGUACCUUUCAGUUCAUGUUUUGUGAGCUAUUGGAUAGACAAAUAAAGUGAUUAUAAUUUUUUAAACAAA